rnacentral:rRNA from 1 species
AACCAACAGGGAUUGCCCUAGUAACGGCGAGUVAAGCGGCAACAGCUCAAAUUUGAAAUCUGGCUCUUUCAGAGUCCGAGUUGUAAUUUGCAGAGGGCGCUUUGGCUUUGGCAGCGGUCCAAGUUCCUUGGAACAGGACGUCACAGAGGGUGAGAAUCCCGUACGUGGUCGCUAGCUAUUGCCGUGUAAAGCCCCUUCGACGAGUCGAGUUGUUUGGGAAUGCAGCUCUAAAUGGGAGGUAAAUUUCUUCUAAAGCUAAAUAUUGGCCAGAGACCGAUAGCGCACAAGUAGAGUGAUCGAAAGAUGAAAAGCACUUUGGAAAGAGAGUCAAACAGCACGUGAAAUUGUUGAAAGGGAAGCGCUUGCAGCCAGACUUGCUUGCAGUUGCUCAUCCGGGCUUUUGCCCGGUGCACUCUUCUGCAGGCAGGCCAGCAUCAGUUUGGGCGGUGGGAUAAAGGUCUCUGUCACGUACCUCUCUUCGGGGAGGACUUAUAGGGGAGGCGACAUACCACCAGCCUGGACUGAGGUCCGCGCAUCUGCUAGGAUGCUGGCGUAAUGGCUGUAAGCGGCCCGUCUUGAAACACGGACCAAGGAGUCUAACAUCUAUGCGAGUGUUUGGGUGUAAAGCCCGAGCGCGUAAUGAAAGUGAACGGAGGUGGGAACCCGCAAGGGSGCACCAUCGACCGAUCCUGAAGUUUACGGAAGGAUUUGAGUAAGAGCAUGGCUGUUGGGACCCGAAAGAUGGUGAACUAUGCUUGAAUAGGGUGAAGCCAGAGGAAACUCUGGUGGAGGCU